AAACUGUAAUACAUGCACUCUCACCAAGCCACCACACCAAUUCAAAUCAAAAUGGCACAUGCAGAAAAAUAGCGUUUAAAAGCGUUUGCUGUCUUAGGCUAGCAAGGUCCUAGUUCUUCACUGUAGUCACAUGCUUCAGAAGCAUAUGUACCACAUCGUGAGAUAUUCUUGCUGCCUCUAUCUCGAGGUGAUGAAUCUUUGCCUCCGUUUCUUGCUCAAGCCGCUUCACAUUAGCACCAGAGUCCCCGCUACUCUCUGCAACCUUCCUCUGGAACUCAGCUUCCAUAUGGGCACGGAAUUCAGCAAUAUCCUUUUCAGCCUCUUCCUUGGCCUGUUUCAAUCUAGCCAUUUUUGCAUUCCUAGCAGCAUUGACAAUGUGCUGAGCUUCCUGUUCUGCAGCUAGCAGGAGUUGAAUUCCAUUCUGACCCCUGUUGGAAUCCAUUCUUCCAGGAAUUUCUAAAGAAGCGGAUUUGUGUUGGGUUAAAAGAUCUGCGAGAAGCUGUUGAUGAAUGAUGACUUGAUG
rnacentral:misc_RNA from 1 species